UACGGAGGGUGCAAGCGUUAUCCGGAUUUAUUGGGUUUAAAGGGUCCGUAGGCGGAUCUGUAAGUCAGUGGUGAAAUCUCACAGCUUAACUGUGAAACUGCCAUUGAUACUGCAGGUCUUGAGUGUUAUUGAAGUAGCUGGAAUAAGUAGUGUAGCGGUGAAAUGCAUAGAUAUUACUUAGAACACCAAUUGCGAAGGCAGGUUACUAAGCAACAACUGACGCUGAGGCACGAAAGUGUGGGUAUCAAACAGG
rnacentral:rRNA from 1 species